rnacentral:lncRNA from 1 species
UACCGACGAAGAAGAUGAAGAAGAAGUGCUUCAGAUGCCUGGUGGUGACGGGUGGCAAAGGCUUGGGUGUGACGGCUUAAACCGUCGGUGACAGUUGAUGAUGCAAAAAACGUGAAACAGAACGGUUUCAGAAAAUGGGGAAGACUAAGAUUUUGUCACAUCCCAGGAAGACAAACAAUUCAUUGGGGAAGGAAUAGAGG